rnacentral:rRNA from 1 species
GACGAACGCUGGCGGCGUGCUUAACACAUGCAAGUCGAGCGGUAAGGCCUUUCGGGGUACACGAGCGGCGAACGGGUGAGUAACACGUGGGUGAUCUGCCCUGCACUUCGGGAUAAGCCUGGGAAACUGGGUCUAAUACCGGAUAUGACCUCCUAUCGCAUGGUGGGUGGUGGAAAGAUUUAUCGGUGCAGGAUGGGCCCGCGGCCUAUCAGCUUGUUGGUGGGGUAAUGGCCUACCAAGGCGACGACAGGUAGCCGACCUGAGAGGGUGACCGGCCACACUGGGACUGAGACACGGCCCAGACUCCUACGGGAGGCAGCAGUGGGGAAUAUUGCACAAUGGGCGAAAGCCUGAUGCAGCGACGCCGCGUGAGGGAUGACGGCCUUCGGGUUGUAAACCUCUUUCAGCAGGGACGAAGCGCAAGUGACGGUACCUGCAGAAGAAGCACCGGCUAACUACGUG